UACGAAGGGGGCUAGCGUUGCUCGGAAUUACUGGGCGUAAAGCGCACGUAGGCGGAUUGUUAAGUCGGGGGUGAAAUCCUGGAGCUCAACUCCAGAACUGCCUUCGAUACUGAGGAUCUUGAGUCCGGGAGAGGUGAGUGGAACUGCGAGUGUAGAGGUGAAAUUCGUAGAUAUUCGCAAGAACACCAGUGGCGAAGGCGGCUCACUGGCCCGGUACUGACGCUGAGGCACGAAAGCGUGGGGAGCAAACAGG
rnacentral:rRNA from 1 species